GCGCCCGCCAUGGCCACACUCAGCCAGGGCCGGUGUCCGUGCACGAACUGCCUGCCCUUUGCACCCAGUGGGAGGAGGUGGCCAGGCCAGGACCGUGCAGACGCCCUGGCCUCUAUCUCCUACUUCCGCUCCCGGACAGCUCACGUGGGGACACGCCCCUUCCUGGAGUAGCCAAUCUGCCCUCCAGGGCUUCGCGAGUGGGCCCGCCCCUGGACCUUAGCGCUCCUUCAGCACGUGCUAGAACACGUGCUCUCCUGGCCUCCCCAGGACACGACCAAUCAGCGCUCCAGGACCUAGCGUGAGGAGGGGGAGGAGGAAUCUGCCCCUUGCCCUUUGCCCCUUGACCUUCGCCCCUCCUCUGGCACGCGAUGAGACACGCGCCUCCACAGGUGGGAGUGCGCGGAGCCCUAGUGCCUCGUUUGCGAGUCCGGGUGGAGGCUGCUCCGUCCCGCAUCCUUCGUGGGCCCUCGCGAGGGUGCCUCCAGGUCCCACCCGUCACCUGCCCCUGGUGUCGGGGCGGGACCCUGGAGAGGCUGUGAGAGAGGCCUGGCGCGGCCUCCUGGAGGCCGCGGCACGGGUCUGUGGCAAGUCGGCGUCCUGCUGCGGACCUUCGCGGGGGCGGGGCCGUUCCCGACCACGACCUCCAGUCUGCGGCUUAGAGCAGCCGGCCGGGCCAGCCCCCAGCACAGGACUGCGGACGAAGCUGACAGUUUCUAGUAUCCGAUGGAGCUGCCUUUUCAAGAAUGCAAACUUCGAGUACUUUCUAUGUGUAAGGCACUGCCAGGAGAGCCAUAUGAAGACAAGUAAGACCUAGUACCUUUUCUCUGAUUUAAAGUAGAGGCAGACUUGUAAAUACAGCAGAUUUAAGUAAUUCGAGAUGAAAAAGAAACAAUAUACUAUGGAGUGCAAAGAAAGGUGAUUUCUGGCGUAGAGAAAUCGUUGGAGGUCUCAUGGAAGAGGCUUCAAAGCCAACUCAAAAUGCUUCAAACUGAAUGAACUGUCACCUCCUUUCUCAAGGAGGGCUCUUACCUUCUUCUUCUUCUUCUUUUUUUUUUUUUUUUUUGAGACAGAGUUUUGCUUUUGUUGCCCAGGCUGGAGUGCAGUGGCCCAAUCUCAGCUCACUGCAACCUCCACCUCCCAGGUUCAAGCGAUUCUGCUGAUUCUCCUGCCUCGGCCUCCCGUAGCUGGGAUAACAGGCAUGUGCUACCACACCUGGCUAAUUUUUUGUAUUUUUAGUAGACACAGGGUUUCACCAUGUUGGUCAGGCUGGUCUCGAACUCCUGACCUCAGGUGAUCUGCCCUCCUUGGCCUCCCAAAGUGCUGAGAUUACAGGCAUGAGCCACUGUGCCCAGCCUCUUAUCUUCUGCACUGUAUUUGCUAUUUCAGUAAUGGCCUCACCAUCCACCGAUUUGCCAAGUUUUUGAGAGUCAUCUGCAACUCCUCCAUCUUUUUUUCCCCCAUACAAUCAGGCAUCAAGUUCUGCUAAAUUUAUCUCCUGGAUAUUGUUCAUAUCCUUACUCCUCCCUCUUCACGUCUGCCUCCUGUCAUCUUUUGCUUGAAUUGUUGCUUGUUCUAACUUCUCUCCCCACCUCCAAUGUCUAUCCUUAGUUGUCUUUCUAAACUAGUAUCUUACCGUCUUUUGUACCCUCUCAUUCACUGUAUCUUUACCUGGGAUCACCUUUCAUCCUUCACUUUGUGACCUCUUUCUCAUCCUCCACCUUACAGUUGAAACAUCACCUCUUCUGUAAAAACUUCUCCAAUUGCCCCAGAAAAAGCUAGGCUCCACCAGUCCUUCAAAGAUAGUUCUCUUAUUACAUUUAUUAAACACUAUUGUGUAAUUAUUUCUGAGCUCUCCUCAGAAAAUGGACCGAAUCUACUUUUGUAUCCAAAGGACUUCAGCACUCAAUAAAUGAUUGUUGAGGGAAUCAGCUCUGGGAUCAUGGACAAAUUCAUUAAGGUGACAACACUGAGCUGUACCUCGAAGCAGUAGUAGGAACUAUUAUUACUAGUUAAAUUGCUGAUUUCAUAGUUCCCUGAUGUUCAGUGACAGGUCAUUCAUACUUGCUCGUUAUAAACCAGUGUUUCAUAAAUAAAACUUAAGAUUUACAAAGUUGUUUUAAAAAAAAGUUUAUACUUGCCCAAUUUAUUUUUUACUCUGAAUGAUACCGGGACACUUCACUAGCUCUUUCUGUGGUAAUCAUUUUGUUUUUUGCUUUUUUAUUUUAUUUUUUUGAAAUAGAGUCUCCCUCUGUCACCCAGGCUGGAAUACAGUGGAGCAGUCUUGGCUCCCUGCAACCUCCACCUCCCUGAUUCAAGCGAUUCUUGUGCCUCAGCCUCCAGAGUAGCUGGUAUCAUAGGCAUGAGCCAUCAUGCCCAGCUAAUUUUUGUAUUUUUAGUAGAUACAGGGUUUCAUCAUGUUGGCCAGGCUGGUCUUGAACCCUUGGCCUUAAGUGAUUCAUCUGUCUUGGCCUCUCAAGGUGCAGGGAUUACAGGGGUGAGCCACCAUGCCCGGCUCUGUGGCAAUCAUUUAAAAAGACUUAAGACUGCCCUAGUUUCUUUCUGAAAUAUCCUGCCAGCCCAAAAGGUGAUAACUGCAUGCAACCAUACUAGAGUGAGGGAUUCUUCCUUGUUUUGAAGAACAACUCUUUCUCUGGCAACGUGGUGUGGUUUAAGGAUGUGUAACCCAUGAUUUGCUAAGUGUAUACAAACAUGGGCAGGAAGGACAGAAUACACAUAACCUCCACAUGAUGGAUACCUCUGGAGAGGGAGAUAGGGGAAUGGGAUAGAAGAAUGGGAAUUAUGUUGAUAGAUAAUAUUUUAAUUAUUUUUAAGGGAUCUGAGGCGGCCAGGCACGGUGGCUCACGCCUAUAGUCCCAGCUACUCAGGAGGCUGAGGCAGAAGAAUUGCUUGAACCCAGGAGGCGGAGGUUGCAGUGAGCUGAGAUUGCGCCAUUGCACUCCAGCCUGGGUAACAAGAGCGAAACUCCAUCUCAAAAAAAAAAAAAAAGACUAAUUCUCAUAGAUUCUAUGAUUUUAUGAUUAUUGGAGUAUGAGAUCCUUUUUAAAAUCUGGAUGGCCAAAAAAAAAAAAAAAAAAAGAAAAAGAAAAAACAAUAAAUAAAUAAAUAAAAUCAGGAUGGCAAGGGCAAGCAGAGCAGAUGUUGCAUGACCCUUAGGGGUGAACACCUUAGAUAUUAGUGCCUUGAUCACAUGGCCUGGGUCUCAUUUGUGUUGGAAUACGUUGGUACAGUAAAGACUGAACUGGACUAGAAAUGAGGAUAGUGAUACCUUCCCCACUUUCUUGCAGGAGUGGAAUAUGCUGAGUUGAAUUAUCUUUGAAAAUCUAUACAGCAUUAUCUCUGUAAGAUGCUAUUUUUAAUCAAGGAGAAGGUGUUUAGAUAUAAUUCUUCCACGGCACAUUAUAAAUAUACCAUCCUUAAGGUACUGGAUACUCAUCUUUGCGUUAUUUUUUCAGUGGUGAUAAUGGCUUUGCAUGGAAUCAUUUAUAGUCUUUCUACCAGUUCUUCUCGAGAUAAAUAGCAUACAUUUUUGAAAGAUGGGUAAUUUUGAGAAGGCUGCAGUCUGAGUCCAGGAAACAAAGCAAAGCUGACUAGCCUAAGCUGAACUCUAGUCCAUGACUCAUCACUAGUUUUGUCUAAUCAUUUAGGAUAGCAAACCAAGCACAGGCUUAUGUAUGACAGGAAUACAAAAUCCCAGGUUGAAUUUUUGGGCCUUAAGUUUCAGGAAGUAUCAAUGUGGUAAGUAAAUGUUUCUCUUUACCUCCAUCUCCCCCUAUGACAAUUGCAGAAGCAUGCAGUGGGCCUAGUGGUUGUAUGUGUGACUGGUUUAGGGGAUUGAAGCUCAGUGUGAGUCAACAGUGUCUUAAGGGUAUUAGUAGCUCAAUAUGAGUGAACAGUGUGUUGUGACUGCCAAAAAAAAGUUGAUAUAAUCUUAGGUUGCAUUAUGAGAAGUAUAGUGUCCAGAACACAAGGCAGAUGACUGUCUCACUCUGUUCUGUGCUGAGCAGAGCACACCUGAAAUUAAUCUAGCUCUGGGUUAGAUACACAACAUAUUCUUGAAUAUGCAGAAAAGAGAUAUCUAACAGCAGCAAUAACAAAAUGUUAAAGGCACUGGGAACCUUUAUUUAGCAAAACCAGGUAAACAAACUCAGAAAGGAUAUUGUUACUUCAUUCAGAUUUCUGAAGGGGCCACAUAUAAGAGGUUUUUAUUUGUUCCACAUGUCCCUGAGGAGAGGAGCUGGAGUCAAUGGAUAGAAACUAAGGGGGGCAUAUUUCAGCCCAAUACAGUUAUUUUCAGUAGGUGAUGUCAGAAAAAAAAAAAAUAGGCAGUCUCUGCAAGUGAUGAGUUUUCAUUCAGAGGGUUCAGGUACGGUCCAGAUGACCACUUGGUGGGAGUGUUGUAGAAGACAGUCAGUCAUCAGAUGGGUAGCUGAAUUAGAGAGUCUGUGAUUUCUGUAUAUUGCUGUAACAUGAACCAAGAAAACCUUAGGGAUGUCAAAUCCAAAGAACUGUAAAUAAGCCAUGGAACAAUACAAGAUAGCUUGGUAUUGAUGAAGUAAAAGUCAGUAAGUGUGAGCAUCUGAAGAACCAGAUGAUGGGAAGAUUUUAUUAUAAUUAACUUUUUUAAAAGCGUGUUUGGUUGGAUUGGGUUUAAAGGAAAAAAAAACCACUUUAUUGCAAGAGUAUCUGGAACCUAAUGGUAAGAAGAGUUCUAGUCCCAGAAUCUGGGGAUGAAACAACUCUCAUGGUUACAAAGAGUAAUUUCAAAUUGCAAGUGGUUGUAUCCGGGGAAUAGUAAGGGGACAAAAAUGGAUGGGGGUUAAGAGGUCAAGUAGAUCCACAGCACAGGGGCAAAACAAGUUUAUAGAGAGAAUUACGUAUUUGUUAAGCUAGGCCAAACAGACUUAUGUUCUGUACUUCACCGUCUGCAAAUAGUUGGCAUCUUAAAAUCCUUUAUACUGAAGCAAAGUAGAUUGUUUACUCUGAGAAGCUCCAAGGUAUACUAAUGAUCCACAGUGGAGGGCUUACAGUAUUGUAAUAACUUACCAGAUUCUGUGCCCCAGCAACAAACUCACCACUGGCAAAUUCAGCCCUACCUUAAGCACUAGACUAGUUCAGCCCUUAGUCCCAGAAUCUGAGUCCUACUUCAGAUCUCAACCUUGCUUGCUGCUAGCCCUGCCUGAAUUAAUGUCCCAAAUCUAAUAACUAGUUUGGGGCAUUAAACCUUUUUAUGGCUGGGCAUGGUGAUUCAUGCCUGUAAUCCCAGCACUUUGGGAAGCCAAAGUGGGAGGGUCUCUUGAGCCCAGGACUUUGAGACCAGCUUGGGCAACAUAAUGAGACCCUGUCCUCAAAAAAAAACAAAAAACAAAAAUCUGUUGGGCCUGUAGUUCCAGCUCCCCUGGGAGUUUGAGGUGGGAGGAUCACUUGAGCCCAGGAGGUAGAGGCUGCUGUGAGCCGUGUUUGUGCCACUGCAUUCCAGCCUGGGUGACAGAGUAAAAACCUGUCUCAAAAAAAAGGGAAGAAAAAAACCUUUUUGUGCUUGUAUCAAGUAAUUGAUUCUUGAAUCUCUUGUUUCCUUAAACUCAAGUCUCUUUCUGAUAUCUCAGUGCAUAGCCCUCUUUUAAAGUUAGCAUUGCCAAAGACUUGAAUCUGGAAUCUGAAUUUUGGGUCCUGCUAACUCUUUUGUAGGUUGUUUUUUGGUUUGUGUAUUUGUUUGUUUUGAAAUGGGUUCUCGCUAUGUUACCCAGCUGGACUCAAACUCUGGGACUCAACUCUGAGAAUACUCCCGCCUAGGCCUCCCGAGUAGCUGGGACUACAGGAGUGCACCAGUGUGCCUGGUAUGUCAUGCUACCUCUUGCCAGACUAACAUAGACUACUUCCUAGACCGCCAUUGUUAAAUCCGAGGGUCCCAGAGCCCCACCUUUGGGCCUCUGUGAGUUUAACAGUUACAGGCUUCAGUUCUAAGAAUCAGGCAUCCCUUCAUCAUCAGAAUCCUCUCUUACAGUCUCAUGUUUCUCUCUGAUCCAAGUGACUUGGUCUGACCACACAUUCUGCACCUAGGGAGCCAAACUGAUAUUGGCCUGUGUUGGAGCAACACACUGAAAGCCCUUUUCCGUGCUCAGCCUCUGCAGACACUAGCCAAAAAGAGCUUCCUAAGCCGGUACUACUCAUCUUGCUGGCCAUGUAUCUGGGAAGCCGAGCCCCACUAUGUACUUUUCCUGUCCAGACUCUGGAAGAGUUAAUUUUAAUAGUUCAUGGCAAGAUGCACAGUUUGUCUUACAGGUGCCUUACAACCAUUGAACAUUUGUUCUCUUCAUUGCUUAGGGUUUUUUAUUUUGGUUUGGUUUGGUUUGGUUUUGAGACCGAGUCUCACUCUUUUUGCCCAAACUAGAGUGCAAUGGCACAAUCUCAGCUCACUGCAACCUCCGCCUCCCAGGUUCCAGCAAUUCUCCUGCCUCAGCCUCCUGAGUAACUGGAAUUACAGGUGUGUGCCACCACAUCUGGUAACUUCUUAUGUUUUUAGUAGAGACCUGUUUCACCGUGUUGGCCAGGCUGGACUUGAACUCCUGACCUCAAGUGAUUCGCCUGCCUAGGCCUCUCAAAGUGCUGGGAUUACAGGUGUGAGCCACUGCACCCAGCCCAUUGCCUAGUUUUAUAAACAAAUAUUAAAUGAACCAGAUGUACCAGACAUUGGGGUCAAACAUGAAUAAGUCAUAUGGUACUUGUUCUCAUAAUUAUGAUAAUAAUGCUUUCCAUUUCUUGAGCACCUGUUAUGUGCCAGGUACUGUGCCGGGCCUGUAAGUGACAGCCUUUAUAGGAGCUAGGAAGUGCAUUGUAGGGGUAGAGGGAAGAGCUGGAUAGUUUGUGUUACUUACAUAAGGCUUCAAACACAGCACAUGGCUAGUGCUUAAUAAACAGUAGCUAUGUUUACAAUAUUAGAGGAUAACAUUACCAAAAGUAUCAUGAAGGUCCAGAGGUGGGAUAAACAAUGUCUAUGUUUACAAUAUUAGGUGAUAACAUUACCAAAAGUACCACGCAGGUCCAGAGGUGGGAGCACAAGUAUCUGAGCCAGAGGGAUGUGUGUAGGGCACAGGAGGAUCAAGCAAAAAGAAGGAAAAGACCGCAAGCAGAAAAAGCCACUGGGAGAGUAGCUAAUCUAUCUGGAACACAAGAAUAGAUAAAGGGCCACAAUGAGACAAUGUAUGUGUAGCAGAUCUAGAGAGUUCUAGAGACGUGUGUGCUAAUGACAGGAGUGUAGCCAUAAAACCCUUUACUGUAGUCACAGGAGAAAAUGAUUGCAUGCAUUUGUGAAAACCGGAAGGAUAAGACACAAGCCUGAAAAUUAUUCAAUUAAAGGAAGGAAGAUUGCAGACUGCUUAGUCACCUGAAGAGAGAGAAUAGCACUUACAAAAUGAGAGGAGAUGAUUAUAUCACUUAAGUGAGCAUUGAUCAACGUACUUGGCAGGACAAGUGGAAAUGUUUUUCUUUUAAAUAAUUCAAGCCUGCAGGCUUCCAAUUCAGUUUAAGAUAGUAUGAGUCUGCUAUAUAUAAACGUGGAUAGCGUUCCAGUGGUAAAUGUGUAGAAUUCAAAGGAGGAAUAAGUAAAAACCUAUUGUCUAUGUUCAGCUAAAAGUGCAUGAAUAAAGCCCUGGUGGUAAAUUCACAAUAGCCUCCAUUUGAACAUGUAUGAGGGGAAGGAAAUACUAUUUGCUUGUUGACCUGGAUUUUAAUAUACUUAAACCACAUUAUUCUAGUAUUAUCAGAGAGAGUCAAGCUUGAUGCUCCAAAGACAUUUCUGUUUCUUUUUUUUUUUUUGAGACAGAGUUUCACUCUUGUUACCCAGGCUGGAGUGCAAUGGCAUGAUCUCGGCUAACUGCAACCUCCGCCUCCUGGGUUCAAGCAAUUAUCCUGCCUCAGCCUCCCAAGUAGCUGGGACUACAGGCGUGCACCACCAUGCCCAGCUAAUUUUUGUAUUUUUAGUAGAGACAGGGUUUCACCAUGUUGACCAGGAUGGUCUCUAUCUCUUGACCUCGUGAUCCACCCACCUCGGCCUCCCAAAGUGCUGGGAUUACAGGCUUGAGCCACCGUGCCCGGCCUUCGAUAUUUCUGUUUUGUACAUUCUGUUUCUGUCAAAUAGACUUACCUUGAAAUCUAUGACAUAUUUUCAUGGCUGGUUGUUCAUAUUUCUCUCAGUAUUUUCCUGAGUUAAUCAAUACAGAAAGUGGCAGGGAAGCAAAUCAUGGUAGAAGAGUAUUAAAGUUAUAGGCCUAUAAUAUAGGAUUAUAUAGUAAUUAUACUGUUUAACUGAUCAUUUUUCCAUUCAUUGGGAAGUGUUCUUAUUUUUGAGAAGCAUCAUGGUACAGUAGCAAAAUCAUAUUUUUUUUAAGUUCUAGCUCUGCUAUGUGUUAGUUACAUAAGUGACUUUUUUGAACUUUCUUUUAUUCUGUAUCAUGAGAUGACAGUACUUGCUUGAAUCGUUGCUUCAAGGAUUACAUGAAAAGCAGGUCUGGGAAAUAAUUAGCAAUCCAAUGCCCAGCUCUCAGUAGGGGCUUAGACACAUUCAUUCUCCACAUCUCCCCUGCAGGAAAGCCUCUUGUGAAGUUGCUGAAGGAGCACAACCUCUGGAAUAACCUUAGUGUUGGUUACUCAAGAAAUCUGUUUGUUUUUUUUUUGAGGGUAGAUUUUACUUUUGAAAAACUAGAAAUUAACUCUACACUAAGUUAGUGGAUGAUUGGGUUAGAGAUGUUUACAAAUAAAGUGUGACUGUGAAAUAAUUGGUUUUCUUGUUGAGACUGUAGAUGGACUCUGAAAGCAGCUCGAACAGAGAAGUUCCAGAAAAGUGUCAAAGCAGAAACUGCAUUUUUGGAAUCAGUUUUGGAUAGAUAAAUUCUUGUAUGCUUAAACUUCAGCUUUGUUACUUUAUAAUCGCACUUUAUUUCCGUGGGAAAGGUGAUGCAGACAGAAUUGAUGAUAGAGACUAAUGGAGAAUGAGGAGAAAAUAAAACCAUAGAAAACAUGUAGAGGCCAUUCCACUGACACAGAGCCUAAUUGAAAUAUUUUUAAAUUCUUUCUUUAGCUACAACUCAAGUCUGGUUGCUAACAAUUUUUAAAGUCUCAUUUCUGAAUCUAUAUUAAAGUAUAUUAUAUUCUCCCAGAGCAGAGCAGUUAGCCUUUAGCUUGGUAUACCACAGCUUAAAAUGAAUGUAUCUUUGUCUUUGCUGAUCCUUCUUUGAGUUUCCCAGACUUAAAAACUUAAGGCUGAUUCUUUGUUCUUACAUUAAACCUGUUACUGUCAUUCCUGUUGGUGAAAUGUCUUCCAUCCUGCCCCUUCUCCAGUCUUACUGCAUCCACCAUCAUCACCUUCCUACCUGGAUCUUGCCUGCAUCAUUGUAUUUGCAAGGAAGCAGUAUUAGCUAGGAAGCUGAUUUCUCCUAUUUCAGUGUGUUUGUCUUCUAGUAGAGCCUUUUCAGAGUAAUAGCUUCAGAUUAAUUUUCCUAAAAUAACACUCCCAUCUUAUGUAUAUAUUUAUUACAAUACCCAACAUUGAUGUGUAGGUAAUUGUUUAUGAGAUAAUCAUUUAUGUUUCUGACUUUUUGGUUAGAUUUUGAGAUAUUUGAAAACAUGAACUAUUUUAUUAAUCUGUGUCAGUAGUGCUUAGUACAGGGUCUUACAUGUAGCCAAGUCACUUCAAACAAGGUAUUUAAUGGCUCUGUGCCAAAAUUUCUUCAUCUGUAAAAUGCAGAUAAUAGUAUCUUUCUCAAAGGAUUGCUGCAUUAAAACAGUAUGUAUAUAUGUGUAUCAAAAAGUAGCUUUGUAUUAUAGCUUUUGUAUAUGUUCACUUUUUUUUUUUUUGAGAUGAAGCUUGCUCUGUUGCCCAAGCUGGAGGGCGGUGGCAUGAUCUCAGCUCACUGCAACCUCCGUCUCCUGGAUUCAAGCAAUUCUCCUACCUCAGCCUCCUGAGUAGCUGGGAUUAUAGGCACCCGCCACCACACCUGGCUAAUUUUUUGAACUGUUGGUGAACACACUACAGGGGAGAGAAGACUUAAUCAGGAUGUUAAUCAAAAUUACACACAAAAAAUUGGUCAGGUGUGGUGGUGCACACUUGUAGUCCCAGCUACUUGAGAGGCUGAGGUGGGAGGAUCAUUUGAGGUCAGGAAUUCAGGACCAGCCUGGCCAACAUGGUGAAAACCCAUCUUUACUAAAAAUACAAAAAAUUAGCCAGGUGUGGUGGUGGGCGCCUAUAAUCCCAGCUACUCAGGAGGCUGAGGUAGGAGAAUUGCUUGAAUCCAGGAGACGGAGGUUGCAGUGAGCUGAGAUCAUGCCAUUGCCCUCCAGCUUGGGCAACAGAGCAAGCUUCAUCCCAAAAAAAAAAAAAAAAAGUGAACAUAUACAAAAGCUAUAAUACAAACCUACGUUUUGAUACACAUAUAUACAUACUGUUUUAAUGCAGCAAUCCUUUGAUAAAGAUACUAUUAUCCACAUUUUACAGAUGAAGAAAUUUUGGCACAGAGCACAGGAGGUAGGUUGCAGUGAGCUGAGAUUGUGCCAGUGCGUUCCAGGCUGGGCCAACAGAGUGAGACACUGCCUUGAAAAAAAAAUAAAAAUCAAAACUGAGUUUAAAUGAAAACAGUGCAAAUACAGUUUCUUGGUCCUUUUUUUUUUUUUCGUUUAUUUUUGAGACGGAGUCUCACUCUGUCACUCAGGUUGGAGUACAGUGGCAUGAUCUUGGCUCACUGUAACCUCUGCUUCCCGGGUUCAAGUGAUUCUCCUGUCUCAGUCUCCCAAGUAGCUGGGAUUACAGGUGUAUACUACCAUGCCCGGCUAAUUUUUGCUUUUUUUUUUUUUUUUGAGACGGAGUUUCGCUCUUGUUACCCAGGCUGGAGUGCAAUGGUGUGAUCUUGGCUCACCGCAGCCUCUGCCUCCUGGGUUCGGGCAAUUCUCCUGCCUCAGCCUCCUGAGUAGCUGGGAUUACAGGCACGCGCCACCACGCCCGGCUAAUUUUUUGUAUUUUUAGUAGAGAUGGGGUUUCACUAUGUUGGCCGGGCUAGUCUUGAACUCCUGAUCUCAGGUAAUCCACCUGCCUCAGCCUCCCAAAGUGCUGGGAUUACAGGUGUGAGUCCCUGCGCCUGGCCCAGUUUCUUGCUUUUAUCUUGUCUCUCUAAUAAGCGUGUAAGCUCCUAGAGGACAAGGACCAUCCUAUAUUUCUUUCAUAUGCCCUACUAUACAUGGCAUAGUUCUUGGCUUUUAUGCAUUCACUUAAUAAACAUUUCUUAAUGAAUAUUUAAUGUACAAUAAUAUGCCAUGGGAUAUAAUAAUAAGACAAGGUCUUUAAUAAUGUUGAGGUACCUCCAUUCUAAUGGGAGCUUAGAGAUACUAAUAUUUAGUAUUUCAUUUAGUCAGUGCUAUGGAAGGCUUUAUAGCAGGUGAUUAAUAUUCUCAGAUGUAUUAAUUACAUAAAUCUGGGAUCUAAGCAGAGUAUGAGCAGGGUGAGUGAUUGGCAAUAAGGGCUCCCAUUCUGCAGCAGUAUCUGAGGUGAGACGUGAUAAAGGCCUGAACUGAAACCCUAGAAAUGGAGUGAGGAUGAAUUCAAGAGCCUCUGUGGAAAUGAAAAUCAAAGGGAUUGUGAUGACUCCACUGUAGAAUAUAAAGUGUAGAAGACAAGGAUGUUCAGGAUCAUUCUGGCCUCUUGCUUGAGCAUUGGUUUAAUAAUAUAAGCCAUUUAGGAAAUAAGAGCCAUGAGGGAAGAAAGCCAGUUUGGAGAUUAAGAUGCCCCUGGGAUCUCCAGAAAGAGAUCCCUGUGAAUAGCUAGAAAUUCAGGUCUGGAUCCUAAGGAUUGGAAUUUGGACUAGAGAGAGAAAACUGGACAUUUUAGCAAACAGUGGUUGUUGAAGCCACGGUAAUAGAAGAGAUCAGGUUGUGGAAAAAUGAGAAGUAUAAAGUACCUGAGACAGAAAUGCUCAGAGAAGUUAGAGGGGAUGCAGGAAUCAGCAGGCCCCUGUGCCAGUGUCCAGCAGUAUUAAUGUUGCAGUGAGACCAAUUUGAAAUUAUGUAUUCAGCAUUUGGGAGGGUAUUGAAAAGGUGGUCCCUGGCUCAAUAAAUAGUGAUCAGAAUGAAUUGAAUAUGGGACAAGAAAGUGAGGAAAAACUUUUGAUAAACUUGGAAUGACAGGCAGGAGAGAGUUCAUUGUUUGAAGAUGAAAUUAGGGCCUUUUUUUUUUUUUUAAGACAGGAUCUUGCAGUAUCACCCAGGCUGGAGUGCAGUGGUACAAUCUGCACUGCAGCCUUGACCUCCUGGGCUCGAGUGAUCCUCUUGCCCAAACCAUCUGAGUAGCUGGGGCCACAGGUGCAUGCCACCACACCUGGCUAAUUUUUAAAUUUUUUGUAAAGAUGAGGUCUCAAUACGUUGCCCAGGCCAGCCUCAAAUUCCUGAGCUUAAGUAAUCCUCCUUCCCUGGCCUCCCAAAGUGGUAGGGUUGUAGACAUGAGCCGCUGUUCCUGGCCCGGACUUUCUAAAAUGAAGCUUUCUUGAACAUUUUUUUUUUCGUGAGAAGUGGGAAAAAGGCUGGAAAAGAGAGAGAAAGCAGUAUCUUCUGUAUUCUAGGAUAUGGACUAACUUCUUUACAUGUUUCAUGUUUAAUCUUCGUCAUCACCGUAUAAGCAAGGGUGUCCUAUCCACUGGGCACGAGGCUCAGCACUAUUAACUAACUUGCCUAGAGGAAUCAAUAAUUGUUUGACUACUAAGACCAAACUCUUUCCAUUUCGUGUGGCCGUUUCCAGGCUCUUACCCAUCCAGGCUCUUACCCAUCUCUAAUCCAUCACAAAAGAAAGGGGAUAAUUUGUUGGUCUGGAGACAGAAGAGCAUGGGAAUGUUAAUGUGGCUGAGGUUACCAUAGACAGACUUCGUGGGAGGAAUAGGGACACUGUCCCCAUGAUAGGAGGCAGGAUAUAAGGAAUAACCUACACACAGGAAGGCCCAGAGAUGGAAAGCCUCCCUAGAGAUGGGAGCUGAGGGGGCAUACUAGAGCUUUAGCUGGUCGUUUCCUAAGAGGGAGGUAUAGAGGAAGAUAUUAUGUGGAGAUACUAGAAAUCAUAGCUGAAGGCGGUCAGGCGUGGUGGCUCACACCUGUAAUUUCAGCACUUCGGGAGGCUGAGGCAGGUGGAUCACGAGCUCAGGAGAUUGAGACCAUCCUGGCCAACGUGCGGAAAUCCUGUCACUACUAAAAAUAUAAAAAUAGCUGGGCAUUGUGGUGCAUGUCUGUAAUCCCAGCUACUUAGGAGGCUAAGGCAGGAGAAUUGCUUGAACCAGAAAAUCAGAGGUUGCAGUGAGCUGAGAUCAUGCCACUGCACUCCAGCCUGGCAACAGAGCAAGACUCCAUCAAAAAAAAAAAAAGAAAGAAAUAGCUGAAGGCUGGGUACAGUGGCUCAUGCCUGUAAACCCAGCACUUUGGGAGGCCGAGCCAGGUGGAUCGCUUGAAUCCAGGAGUUUGAGACCAGAUGACCAACAUAGGAAACCCCAUCUGUACUAAAAAUGCAAAAAUACCAGGUGGGUGUGGUGGCACUUACCUCUAAUCCCAGCUACUCAGGAGGCUGAAGCAAGAGAAUCACUUGAACCUGGAAGGCAGGGGUUGCAGUGAGCUGAGAUUGUGCCAGUGCACUCCAGCCUUUGUGACAGAGUGGACUCCGUCUCCAAAAAAAAAAAAAGGAGGCCGGGCGCGGUGGCUCACGCCUGUAAUCCCAGCACUUUGGGAGGCUGAGGCGGAUGGAUCACGAGGUCAAGAGAUCGAGACCAUCCUGCUGGUCAACAUCGUGAAACCCCAUCUCUACUUAAAAUACAAAAAAUUAGCUGGGCAUGGUGGCGCACGCCUGUAAUCCCAGCUACUCGGGAGGCUGAGGCAGGAGAAUUGCCUGAACCCAGGAGGCGGAGGUUGCGGUGAGCUGAGAUCAUGCCAUUGCACUCCAGCCUGGGUAACAAGAGCGAAACUCCGUCUCAAAAAAAAAAAAAAGGUGACCAGGCUUGUGCUAACACCUAUAAUCCCAACACUUGGGGAGGCCAAGGUGGGAGGAUCUCUUGAGGCUGGGAGUUUGAGACCAGCAUGGGCAACAUAGUGAGAUUCCAUGUCUUAAAAAAAAAAAAAUAGGCAAAAUAUUGAACAGACACCUCACCAAAGAAGAUAUACAGAUGGUAAAUAAGCAUAUGAAAAAAUGCUUAAAGUCAUGCGUCAUUAGGGAAUUGCAAAUUAAAACAAUAAGAUACUACUAUACACCUAUUAGAAAGGCUAAAAUCUAAAACAUUGACAACACCAAAUGGUGAUAAGGAUGUGGAGCAAUAGGAACUCCCAUUCAGUGCUGGUGGGAGUCAAAACACUACAGCUACCUUGGGAGAAAGUUUGGCAGUUUUGUAUAAAAUUAAACAUGCUUUUGCCAUAUGAUCUAAUAAUUGUCCUUUUGUAUUUACACAAAGGAGUUAAAGACUUAGAUCUACAGAAACCUGCACAGGAGUGUUUAUUUCAGCAUUAUUCACAGUUGCCAAAACUUGGAAGCAACCAAUAUGUUCUUCUGUAGAUAAAUGAGUAAAUAAACUGUGGUAUAUCCAUACUCUAUGAAUAUUAUUCAGUGCUAAAAAGAAACAAGCUAUCAGUCCAUGAAAAGACAGGAAAGAAACUUAAAUGCUUAUUACUAAAUGAAAUAAUUUGAAAAGGCUGUAUACUAUAUAAUCCCAACUAGAUGUAAUUCUGGAAGAGGCAAAACUAUAGUAAAAUGAUGGAGAUAGUAAAAUGAUCACUGGGUGUCAGGGGCUUUGGGAGGAAGGGAUGAAUAAAGAGAGCAGAUGGGAUUUUUAGGGCAGUGUAACUAUGCCAUAUGAUACCAUAAUGAUAGAUACAUGUCAUUACACAUUUGCUAAAACCCAUAGAAUAUACACCACCAAGAGUGAACCCUAAUGCAAACUUGUGGACUUUGGGUGAUAAAUGACAUGUCAGUGUUGGUUCACUAGUUUUAACAAAUGCAUCACUCUGGUGCUGGAUGUCGGUAGCAAGGGAGGCUGUGUCUGGAGGCAGGGAGUUUGUGAGAUAAGCUCUAUAUGUUUCCCUCACUUUUGCUAUGAACUUAAAAUGCCCUUUAAAAGUCUACGUAGGCUGGGGACAGUGGCUCACGCCUGUAAUCCCAGCACUUUGGGAUGCCAAGGCAGGUGGAUUACUUGAGCCUAGGAGUUCAAGACUACCCUGGACCACAUGGUGAAACUCCAUCUCUACAAAAAAAGUACAAAAUUAGCUGGGCAUGGUGGAGUGCACCUAUAGUCUCAGCUACUCGGGAAGCUAUAGUGGGAGGAUCACCUGAGCCCUGGAGGUGGAAGUUGCAUUGAGCCAAGAUUGCACCGUGUACUUCAGCCUGGGUGACAGAGUAAGAUGCCAUUUCAAAAAAAAAAAAGUCUAUGUAAAAAGUUGAUGGGGAAGGAUUGGGAAAUCAGUAUAUUGGUAGAAAAACUAUAUGAAAAUAUUUUAUGUUUAUAUAAAAUUAAGUCCCAUUCCCUAAAGAAUAAGGGAUAAGAUAUAGAAAAGCUCCAGAUUCUCAAGAUGAUGCAGAGCACCUGAGACAUUUAUUUUCUAUUUUAUUUUAUUUUUUUAGAGAUGGGGUUUCACUCUGUCACCCAGGUGGGAGUGCAGUGGCAUAAUCAUAGCUGGGACUAGAAGUAUGCACCACGUGCUUGGCUAUGAACCUGAAGUGUGCUGAUGCAGUAGGGAGAAUGUAGAACUCGGGGGUGAGGAGACCUGCCUGGAGCCCUGACUCUGUCACUAGGCAAUUCCUAUCAUCUCACUAGGUCUGUUCUCCCAGCUGCAAAAUUGAUUGAUGUGUGAUAUCGGAAAUGCCUUUGAGCUUGGAAUAUCCAUGCUGGUGUUUGGCCACAGUAUAACGUAGUGGUUAGAGCACAGACUCUGGCAUUAGAAUGCUUAGGUUGAACCUCAGUACGUCACACCCAAGCUGUGCGACUGUGGGCAAGUUAUUAGCUUCUCUGAGCCCCAGUUUCUUCAUCUGUAGACUAGGGAUAAUAAUGGUAAAUAUCCUGCUGGGUAGUUGUAGAGAUUCAAUGAUAAAAAAAUCUAUAAAAAGUGCCUGACACACAGUAAGUAGAAGAUAAAUACAAGCUAUUAUCAUUACAAAGUGUACAUGCUGUUAUUCUGAUAAUCUUUUGCUACUGCUGAGAGCACACUACUCUAUACCUAUAUGUAGUUGCAACGAACAGGAGGUAAAUGGAAUUAACCGAUUGGAGUUUGCCAGGUUCCCCUUUUGGGAAAGGAAUGAAAGGAAUCUUCAAAUAUCUGAGUGGUCAGGACCUCUGGGUUAUGACUCAGCUACAGUCAACUGUCAGAUUUUCCCACAGCUCAGUGGAAAGUCACUGAAGACUCUGUGAAAACAGUGCCAUCUCUCCUUCAGUGUUUCUCUGCUAGGAUGCAUUGCUAACUCUGGGGGUCUGACCAUAUUUUUGUCCCAAAAUGUCUGCAACUGUUUCUGCUGAGCUGAUGAUGCUACAAGCCUCAAGCCUAUGAGAGUUUAUUGUCAACCCCACUGUAGGACAUCAAAAAAGAAAACUUUAGGGUCUGGAUUGUUUUUCCAGGCAGGAACAAUGAUGUAGUGACUAUCAUAGAUUAUUUCAGAGUUCAGAAUCUCAUGUCUCAGUUCCCCUUGCUGCUCUCUACCUUCCUCUGUGGGUGAAAUUAAGAUUAUGGAUGCCACCUUGAAAGAUAGUAUACAGGCUGGGUGCAGUGGCUCCUGCCUGUAAUCACAGGAGGGGAUUAGCCACUGUACCCAGCCUGUAUACUAUCUUAGGAGGCUGAGAUAUCUCUAUACUUAGGAGGCUGAGACAUCUCUAUACUUAGGAGGCCGAGACGGGUGGAUCAUGAGAUUAGGAGUUCAAGACCAGCCUGGCCAAGGUGCUAAAACUCUGUCUCUACUAAAAAUGCAAAAAUUAGCCUGGUGUGGUGGCACACGCCUGUAAUCCCAGCUCUCUGGAGGCAGAGGCAGGAGAAUCGAAUCUCUUAAACCCAGGCCGCAGAGGUUGUAGUGACCUGAGAACAUGCCACUGCAAUCUAACCUGGGCGACAGAGCAAGACUCUGUCUCAAAAAAAAAAAAAAGAGUAUACAUUAUGCAUUGGUGAUAGUCACUAAGAUUUUUUUUUAAAGUUUUCUUAGAUUGUCCCAGCAGAAGCUCUAUCUGUUAAUGUAAUUGUCCACAGUUUAAACAGAAGUAGAAACAUCUACAUAAUUUGGUUAUAAUUCUAACAUCUUUUGAAAUCUUCUUAGGUCAUAUUCUCAAAUUUGAGUUCAAGAACCCUUUUUAUCAACCUGAUUGAAUCCUCAAUCUUCCUCUUUCUAGCCUUGCAGAGAAGUCUCACAGCUAGCUCUACACCGUGAUGUUCAAGUAACUAAGGGGCUAGUGAUCUGGGACAAAGUGCCUUUUCUUUCUUAAGUUUCCUUUUUUUUUUUUUUUUUGAGACGGAGUUUCGCUGUUGUUAUCCAGACUGGAGUACAAUGGCAGGAUCUCGGCUCACUGCAACCUCCGCCAUCUGGGUUCAAGCAAUUAUCCUGCCUCAGCUUCCCAAGUAGCUGUGACUACAGGCGCCACACCACCAUGCCCAGCUAAUUUUUUGUAUUUUUAGUAGAGACAGGGUUUCACCUUGUUGACCAGGAUGGUCUUGAUCUCUUGUCCUCAUGAUCCACCCGCCUCGGCCUCCCAAAGUGCUGGGAUUAUAGGCGUGAGCCACCACGCCCGGCCAAGUUUCCCGUUUUAAGAGUAGAGAUGCCGUGGUCCAAAGCUGGUCUGGAAUUUUCCCUGCAUUGAGGUCUAUUCAAUACAAUAAUCUAUUUUAAACCUAAAUCUCUUGCCCAGGUGUGAAUUUCCUUAUGGCUGCCCUAGGACUAGAUAGUGGAUGACAUUCAACAAGUAUUGGUUUGUAUUACACACCUUUUAAUAGCAUUUUAAUGGCUUUGGCACCUUCCCUCUGAACGUUUCUCCUUUUGGCCCCCCUACUUCUCUGUGUACCUUUUUGUCUUCAGGUGGAUCAUUGGGAUCUGCCCUUUGCAGAAAAAUCUACACUUUGGUACUUGAAAUGCCAUGAUAUACAUCUUAAAAAAUUUUUUGGGGGGAACAUGGUCUCCCUUUGUUGCCCACGUUAGAGUACAGUGGGCACAAUCAUAGCUCACUGAAAUCUUAAACUCUUGGGCUCAAGCAGUUUUCUUGCCUCAGUCUCUCAAGUAGGUGGGACUACAGAGGCACAACCACCGUGCCUAGUUAAUGCUUUUUCUUUUUUGUAGAGACAGAGCCUUGCUAUGUUGACUAUGGUGGUCUUGAACUCCUGGCCUCAAGUAAUUCUUCCAUCUUGGCUUCCCAAACAGCUGGGAUUACAGCCAUGAGCCACCAUGCCCAACCAUGACAUACUUUUUUUUCGUUUUUCUUUUCUUUUUUUUGAGACUGCGUCUCACUGUGGUGCCCAAGCUGGAGUGCAGUGGUAUGAUCUUGGCUCACUGCAACCUCCGCCUCCCAGGUUCAAGCUCUUCUCGUGCCUCAGCCUCCCAAGUAGCUGGAACCACAGGCGCGAGCCACCAUGCCUAGCCAAUUUUUGUAUUUUUAGUAGAGACGGGUUUCACCAUGUUGGCCAGGCUGGUCUCAGACUCCUGACCUCCAGUGAUCUACCCACCUCAGCCUCCCAAAGUGCUGGGAUUACAGGCGUGAGCCACUGUGCCCAGCCAAUACACAUUUUUUAGAUGAAGAAACUGAGGCUCAGAAAAGGUAAUUGGCUUGCCCAAGGUCAUAUAGGCACUCAUUAACAGAGGUCAAGACCAGAACACUGACUUCCCUGAAUUCUAUUCCAUGGUGACUCUGUUAAGCCAGUAAGCAUCACCUUUUAAAAAAUAAGUAUUUCCAAAGUAGGGGUUAGGAAUGGAGGGAAUGAAACUCUCACUGAAGAAAGGAUAGGGCUAAAGGAAGGAUUGAACCCAUGCAAGGAAAUGGCUCUGAGUAGGCAGAAGGCCCGGGGAAACAGAAGUGUCUGGCUGUGGACAGGGAGAGGAGGUGCCAUGGGGUGAGGAAAAGGCACAGAGAGAGUUGAGAGCCACCACCAGCACAUACUUGGACUGGUUGAAAAUCUGACUCCCCCAAACAGAUAUAAAUGCUCCUCCAGAUCUUACUAUUUCUACAGCUGUGACUUAACUGCUGCUUAUCUUUCCUCCAAGAGAUUCCUUGGAAUGAAACCAAUGGGAGUCCAGGGUUUGGAAGAGUCUCAUCAGAGCAGAUGGGCCAGCAGCAGCCAGAACCCUUGUUGCCUUUGGCUGAGAACACUGUCCUGGAUCUGAAUGUCUUGUGAGCAAACCCCAGCAGGCUCAGCCUUAGGCCUGAGCGAAGUUGGCCUGCUUCUCCUAGAAGAACCUUGUGUACUCCCACAUCUUCCCUCCCCUCUUUUGCAUGUUGAAAAUCACAUUCUGAGAGCACUCUUGAAGCUAAAACCACAUUGCCUGUUAGCAGCCCCAGAAGGAUGGCGUCUUAGUGCUUUUGGUCCCUUGGUAUAUUUAGAAGUGCACUGCAUGGAGGGUCAGGAGGCCCAGUUCUGAUUCUUACCCAACCACUAAUUUUCCCUAGGACCACAGGCAAAGUAUUUGUCCCUGCGCCACAUUUCCUUAGCCGUAAAGUUGUUUAUAAUAACUUUAAUUUAGGAAAUGUUUGCUGUAUAUCAGACAUAAUCUCAUUGAAUUCUUUCAACAAUCCUAUGGAAUAUGUACUUUUUUUUUUUUUUUUUUUAAUAUGGAAUCUCGCUCUGUCACCCAGGCUGGAGUGCAGUAGCACCAUCUCGGCUCACUGCAACCUCUGCCUCCCAGGUUCAAGCAAUUCUCCUGCCUUAGCCUCCUAGUAACUAGAAUUACAGGCAUGUACCACCAUGCCUGGCUAAUUUUCAUAAUUUUAGUAGAGAUGUGAUUUCCCCAUGUUGGCCAGGCUAGUCUUGAACUCCUGGCCUCAAGUGAUCUAUUUGCCUCGGCCUCUCAAAAUGUGACUGGCCAGGCAUAAGCCACAGCCCUAGGCUAGCAUAGGUACUAUAAUUGUCCUGCUUUACAGGUAAGGAAGCUAAGGCUUAGAAUUUUAUAUGCUAACCAACCUAUUUAAAUUACCAGCCCCUACCUGUGGCCAGCACCACUUUCUCUGCCUUAUUUUAGCCAUAGCAUUUAUUACCACCUAAUAUGUUAUAUAUUUUACGUUUUGGUUUGCUCUCUCCCUCUAUGAGACUAUAAGCUCCAUUAGGGAAUGGAUUUUUAUCUUUGUAUUCCUGUUGUUAUUGUUCAUUUGCUGUGUCCCUAAGACCUAGAAUUAUGCCUGGCUCAUGAUAGGUACUCAAUAUUGGUUGAAUGAAAAAAACAAGUGAAUGAAUUCUUGGUAGGAGUGUAAAUUGGUAUAGACUCUGAGGAAGUCAGUUUGGCAAUAGUAAUAUUUAACAUGCACUAACCUUUGGACCCUGCAACACCAGAACUAUGUAUAUCCUAUAGACGAUAUAUUCAUGCGUCUUCCUAAACCGUGAAUACCAGGCACAGUGACUUAUGUCUGUAAUCCCAGCACUUUGGGAGGCCAAGGCAGGAGGAUCACUUGAGCUCAGAAGGUUGAGACUGCCUGGGCAACAUAGUGAGACUCUAUCUCUAUCAGAUAAAUAGAUAACCAGACAUAGUGGCACCUAUCUGUGGUUCAAGCUACUUGAGGGGCUGAGGUGAAAGGAUUGCUUGAGGCCUGGAAGCUGGAGGUUGCAGUGAGCCAUGAUCAUGCCACUGCAGUCCAACCUGGGUGACACAGUGAGACCCUGUCUCAAAAAAAAAAGAAGUAAAAUAUUCAUCAAUAAGAGAACUUAUUGAAUAAGUGUGAUAGGUCCCUCCAGUGGGCUUCUAUGUAGAAGUGGAAAAGAAUGCAGUAAAACUGCAUAUGCUGAUACAUAACAACUUAAGAGAUACUAAGUAAAAAAAAGCAGAGUGUAAGAUGAUGUAUCACUAUUUUUCAUUUGUAUGAAAAGAAAAAGUAUGAUAGAUUUUAAGAUGUACUUGUUUAUGUCUAGACUCUUUCUAGAAAGAUAGCUAAGAAACAAAUGAUUGCCUCUGAAGAGGGUACAGAAGUUUUAGUUUGGGAUGGAGAACAUCCUCUGACUGAGAUAAAAUUCACAAACAAUAUAAGACUCAUUUAAAGUAUAUAGUUCACUUUAUAUGAGUGAAUUACGUUUGGUAUAAACUUUUAAACAUUAUGGUUGGCGGGGGCAGUAGCCCACACCUGUAAUCCCAGCGCUUUGGGAGGCCAAGGCAGGCACAUCACAAGGUCGGGAGUUUGAGACCAGCCUGGAAAUAUGGUGAAACCCCCUCUCUAGUAAAAAUACAAAAAUUAGUCAGGCAUGGUGGCAGGCACCUGUAGUCCCAGCUACUCAGGAGGCUGGGGCAGGAGAACUGCUUGAACCCAGGAGGUGGAGGUUGCAGUGAGCCAAGAUCAUGCUACUGCGCUCCAGCUUGGGCAACAGAGUGAGUCUCCGUCUCACCAAAAAAAAAAAAAAAGGUUAAAAUAUAUAUAAUGUAAAAUUGGCUUCUCCCCACUUUUUUUUUUUUUUAAGAGACAGGGUCUCUAUUACCUAGACUGGAGUGCAGAGGCAUGAUCAUAGCUCGCUGUAACCUUGAACUCCUAGACUCAGGAGGUCUUCUCACCUCAGCCUCCCAAGUAGUUGGGACUACAGGUAUGCGCUAUCAUACCUUGAUAAUUAAAAUAAUUUGUUGUUGUUGUUGAGAUAGGGCCUCACUAUGACCAGGCUAGUCUCAAAUUCCAUAAUCUCAAGUGACUCAAGCAAUUCUGCCAUCUUGGCCUCCCAAAGUGAUGGAAUUACAGGCAUGAGCCACCACAGCUGGCCUGUCCCUUUUUAAGUAUAUAAUUCAUUGGCAUUAAUUACAUUCACAAUGUUGUGCAACCAUUGCCACUAUUUCCCAAAUAUUUUCAUCCCCCAAACAGAAACUUUAACUACCGUAGUGUAGUCUUUUAUAAUAUUUUAUUUUUUAAAAAUAAUACGUAUGUAUUACCUUUUUUAUUUUAAAAACUAAUUUUAGGCCAGGCAAGGUGGCACACACUUAAAAUCCCAACACUUUGGGAAGCCGACGUAGGAGGAUAACUUGAGCCCAGGAGUUCAAGACCAGUUUAGGCAAUAUAGAGAGACCUCAUCACUACAAAAAAAUUUUUUUAAAUUAUCCAGGCGUGGUGGCACAUGUCUACAGUCCCAGCUACUCGGGAGGCUGAGGUGAGGGGACUGCUUAAGCCCAGGAGAUUGAGACUGCAGUAAGCCAUGAUUGUGCAACCACACUCCAGCCUGGGCAGUAGAGCAGGUCCCUGUUUCACAAAUAUAAAAUAAAAUAAAAAAAUUUUAAAAUUAAAAUGAAUUUUAAAAAGAAAGUAUAACAGGUUUAGAAAACUUAGUAACUUGCCUAAGAUUGCACAGCUCAUAUUUCAUAGCAGCAACCACCAGUUUUAUUAUAAAGUAAUAAAAAUUCUUACAAAGAAUGAAGUUUUAGCCGUCUUUCUGGGUGUUAUAAGGGACUUGGAUAUCAUCUAAUUCCUUCAUUUUACAGGUGAGAUAACAGAUUCAUUGAGGCAAGAUGGCUACCCCAAGUCAAGAAUCCUAUCAGUAGCAGGCCUCCUAAUCCAAAGGACAGAGUAGGUCACAGAAGAGGUCUUUUGCUUUUGACAAAACAAGUAAGGUUUGAAUCUCUCCUGCCCUCAAAAGGGAUUUAGGAGUCUCUUACUUCAGGUAUCUCUUGUAUGUUCCAUGUACCUGUACUGUCUAGUAGGAGGGAAUGGGGCCACUGCACCCUGAUAUCAUUGUUUCUGUUUAUCUGAAACUACACAGCAAACCCUUAGGACCUAUCUCAAUUUCUACUUGUAAGAAAAUGUAUCUGAUUGCCCUACCACAUCCAAUUCCCACUUAAGUCCUAACUCAUAUAUACAUUAUUAUUUGAAACAUGUAAUUAGCAAUCAGAGAAGGUGUGAGGCAUUUUAUAGCUGUGUCAAUGUAUGAGUCCAUUCUGCCCACUAGUGUAAAGCUCCAGGGAAGCUGGAGGUGGGUGAUUGAUUUCUGCUAGAAGGUCCCCAAUAGAUGGUUUUUGGUUUUUUAGGUUAAUUGAGCUGUGCUGUUCUGAAAAAAAAAACUGUGAUUUUAGAUAUGAAAUAUUUCAAGGGUUUAGCUGCGCCUCCCUGCAGAGCUGUGUGCUGGAUCACAGAACAUUGGAAUCAGUGGACAUUGUGGCUAUCCCUCCGUUUCUGAGAACAAAGUGUGACUCUUUCCUGUUUUCCUUACCUUGGCAUUAAUUGCAUCUUCAUUUAUGUGAUUGUUUGAUUGCAGUUCAUCUUCUCCUCCUCCCUCCCUCCCCCAAUAGACUAGAAAUUCCAUAAGAACAUAGACUGUGUCUGUCUUCACUCACCAGCAUAUCUCCAGCACCAAGCCUGGCACAUAGUAGGUGCUCAAGAAAUACUUGUCAACUGGAUGAAUGAAGAUAGCACCUUAUUUUAUAGAUGAGGAAGCAGAGGCCCAAAGAGAUCAGGUCAGUGGCAGAGCUGGGACAAGAAGGCAAGUCUCCUGGUUCCUCAGCCAGCAUUCUAUUUUCCUCUGUAUCCUCUCAGCAUCGGAGUUGGAAAAUCUUGGCACCUAGUCUUACCCUUUCAUUUUACAAAUGGGAAACUGAGGCCCAGAGAGGGGAAAGACUUACCCAGGGCCCACGGAAAGAGGCACUGGCAAAGCAAAGCCUAGUACUUAGGUAUCCUGACUCCCAAGCUAGUGCUCUUUCUUUGUAAAAGCACAAAAAAAAAAAAAAAAACAAAGCUGAAUUGGGCUUCUUGCCAAGCCCCUGCAGGAGGUCACAUAGCCGAGCAGCUCUCAGAGUUCCUUGUCUAUUCUUAGCCUGAACUUUUAGUGACUCUGGUCUUCAGCAGCCUUUUUCCCCCUUUUUCCUUUGCAAUGGUCUGUUGCGUAUAUGUAGUGUGUGUUUUAAAUAAAUGGUGCUACGUGUAGGAAAUGGGCUUUAGCACAGUCUUGCUACAGAGGUCCUGAAAAGAAUAAACGCGAGAGAAGGGGCCCUGAGAAAACAAUCAACUUCCCUUCCUCUGAAGUGACCCCAGUGUCCCAGAGCCACCCCCUCUCUGCUGCCUGUCACAACUACCAACACAAGGCUAAACCCCUCACACAAUAAGAAGGAAGUCGACAUAAAGAACUUAAAAGGAAGAUUGGCUAUUAGUAUUGGCCACUGAAGCCUCAUUUUGAUGAGGAUCAAAAAUCAGCUCUUCCUAAGCUGUGGUCCCUCUUCUAACAUACACUGCAGUUUCCCAGCAGCAAGUCAUUUAUCAGUCAGUCACCAAACAUGAAUGAAAAGACCCUUCAGACACAGUUCUAAACUCUCAAAGCCUUCUUCUUUCUCUACUUGGCCAAACACUUGCUCCAAACAAGAGACACACAAGAAAUUUAAGCAGCUACUGACCUCAGGUUACUUGGAAAGGACAAGAGACACAGUGGAUAAAAGGUAACUAAUGUUGCCCAUGUGCAAAAUGACAAAUGAGAAGAACAGCUCUACAUCAAGUUCAUAUGAGGAGAGGUCACUCUGGGCUAAGCUAGGUCAAGGAAAAUUCAGGGGAGCAACUUGAACUGCUCUUGUAUAUUAGUUAUCUAUUCCUGUAUAACAGAUUGCUCCAGUUUGUGUGUUACUUGCAUAUUCUUUUUUUUUUCCCCCCAGAGAGACAGGGUCUCACUAUGUUGCCCAAGCUGGUCUUGAAUUCCUGGGCUCAAGGGAUCCUCCUGCCUCAGGUUCCCAACAUGCUGGGAUUAUAGGUAUGAACUGUCACGCUUAGUCUAGUUGUCUAUUCUUGCAUGUCCUUAAAACUUAGUGACUUAAAACAGUAAGCAUUUAAUAUCCAACAUUUCUGUGGGUCAAGUAUCCAGAGGUAGCUUAGCCAGGUGCCUCUGGCUCAGUCUCUCAUGAGGUUUCAGUCAAGCUGUCAGCUUAAAGGCUCAUCAGAUGGUAGAGAAGAAUCCAGUUUCAAGCUCACUGAAGUGGUCAUUGGUAGGCCUCAGUCCUUCCUGAUAUAGGCUUCUCUAUAGGGCUGCUUCAAGACUCAGUGCUACUGUCACCCAGGGUGAGAGGUUUAAGAGAGGAAGUGUGAACAAGAUGAAAGCCACAUUCCUUUUGUAACCUAAUCUCAGAAGUGAUAUCCCAUCACUUUUGUUGUAUUCCUUGUUAUCAGCAGUGAGUCACCAGGUUCAGCCCACAUACAGGAAUGUGAAUACCACGAGGCAGAGAUCAUGGGAGCCAUCUUAGAGGCUGCCUCCCAUACCUUGCCAGAUGAAUACUAUUUAAAUAAGGCAGAGUAAGCAUUCUAGGUAGGGAACUGGAUUUUGAAAGGUUUGAUUGGGGAUGACUUGGUUGGAACAAGACAUAAAUAGGAGGGUAGUAGGUAACUAGAGAGGUUGACUGGGCCCAGACUGAACUGGGUUUUCAAUGCCAGGCCAAAGAGUUUUAGAGUUAUGCACCGCAUAGCAGUGUUUCAGUCAAUGGCAGAUCACAUAUACAAUGGUGGUCCCAUAAGAUUUUAAUGGAGCUGAAAAAUUCCCAUUGCCUGGUGAUGUCAUGGCCAUUAUACCAUCCUAUUACAGUGUAUUACUUAUGUGCUUUUGGUGAUGUUGGUGUAAACACACCUACAUUUGCACUGCCAGUCAAAUAAAAGUAUAUAGCAAAUACGAUUACAUACAGUGCAUAAGAUUUGAUAAUAAAUGAUGAUGUUACUGGUUUAUCUAUUUACUAUACUUUUAAUCAUUAUUUUCGAGUAUACUCUUUCUACUUAUGGAAAAGAACGGUAAGUGUGAAACAGCCUUAGGUAAGUCCUUCAGGAAGUAUUUGAGAAGAAAGUAUUGUUAUCAUAGAGGAUCGCUCCAUGCAUGUUAUUGCAUGGAGCUUCCAGUGGAUCAGGAUGUGGAGAUGGGGACAGUGAUAUUGAUCCUGACCCUGGGUAGGGAGGGUCCCUGGAUAACCCUAACCUAGGCUAAUAUAUGUUUAUGUUUGUCUUAGUUUCAAACAAAACUGUUUAAAAAGUAAAACAAAAAUACAACACUAAAGGAAAUAAACUUAUAGAAUAAGGAAAUAAGAAUACAAAUAUAUAUAAAUAUGAAUAUAAGGAUUUUUAUACAGCUGUACAAUGUUUUGGUAUUUUAAGCUAAUGGUUUUUGCAAAAGAAUCAAAAAGUUAAAAAUUAAAAGAUUUAUAAAGUUAAAAAGUUACUGUAAGCUGGCCCGGCGCAGUGGCUCACGCCUGUAAUCUCAGCACUUUGGGAGGCCAAGGCGGGCGGAUCAUGAGGUCAAGAGAUCGAGACCAUACUGGCCAACAUGGUGAAACCCCAUCUCUACUAAAAAAUACAAAAAUUAGCUGGGCGUGGUGGCACAUGCCUGUAGUCCCAGCAUCUCGGGAGGCUGAGGCAGGAGAUUGCUUGAACCCGGAGGCGGAGAUUGCAGUAAGCCAAGAUUGCGCCACUGUACUCCAGCCUGGCGCCUGGCGACAGAGCAAGACUCUGUCUCAAAAAAAAAAAAAAAAAAAAGUUACUGUAAGCUAAGCUUAGUUUAUUUAAGAAAUAGAAACUUAAAAAUGCAUUUAGCGUAGCCUAAGUAUGCAGUAUUUAUAAAGUCUACAAUAGUGCACACUAAUGCCAUAGGCCUUCACAUUCACUCACCACUCACUGACACACCCAGAGCAACCUCCAGUCCUUCAGGCUCCAUUCGUGGAGCUUGUACACCUCUACAAGUAUACUAUUUAAACAAAUUUUUACACUAUGUUUUCGCUGUACCUUUUCUGUGUUUAGAUUUGAUUAGAGAUAUAUACACUUCCCAUUGUGUUACAGUGGCCUACAGUUUUCAUUACAGCAACAUGCUGUACAGGUUUGCAGCCUAGGAGCAAUAGGCUACACCAUACAGCUUAGGUAUGUAGUAGGCUGUACCAUCUAGUUUGUGUAAGUACACUAUGAAUUUGCACAAUGACAAAAAUCGCCUAUUGACACAUUUCUCAGAAUGUAUCAUUGUCAUUAGCAACACAUGACUGUGUUUUUAUCCUCAGACUCUGGUCUACAUUCCUGCACUCAGUUGUAAACUCUGUGAGAUUAGGAACCAGGUCUAUUUUAUUCCUAUUGUAUCUGUAUAAUUUGUGGUUGGCAUAUAUAGUAGUUGGCCAAGAAAAUUUGUUGACUGAAUAAUGCAGAGUUACCAGAUUUGUUUUUUUUUUUUAAUUUCUGACAAUUUAAUCCCAAGGAAGCCUACAUAUUUACUUUAGGAGCUUCUAAUCGGGAUAUAAAUGUUGUCCUCUAUUUCUUUGCCUUUUUUUUUUAAAGACAGUCUUGCCCUAUUAUCCAGGCUGGAGUGCAGCGGAUUGAUCCUGACUCACUGCAAUCUCCGCCUCCCAGGUUCAAGCUAUUCCCCUGCCUUAGCCUCCCAAGUAGCUGGGACUACAGGCGUGUGCCACCACACCCAGCUAAUUUUUGUACUUUUAGUAGAGAUAGGGUUUUGCCAUGUUGACGAGGCUGGUUUUGAAUUUCUGAUCUCAUGGUCCGCCCUCUUUGGCCUCCCAAAGUGCUGGGAUUACAGGCGUGAGCCACUGCACCAACCUACUUCCCCUAUUUCUAAAGCAUCAUUAUUCAAAUUACCCAGCACAUAACAAAGUGGGAAGUUGGGUUUUAAUCAUGGGCCUACAUCCUUCCCUGUGACUAAAAGCUCUUUAAACACUUCAUCAUUCUGUUGAGCCUCAGAAUCUUGGAAUACAGGUGAAAGAAGACAAACUUGAAGUCUAAGAACAAACAAAGCUGGUUCUGCUCACCUAGCAGUCCAGGAGUCAAACCUGCCAAUAGACUGGUCAAGUUCCAGCACCCGGUCCUGCCCUUUAGUCACGCUGCCUCCUGCCUUACUGGCUCACCAGAAUCUAUUUUGUGCAAUGCUUUUGAGUAUGAAGAGAGAAUCUAUUCUGGGGGAAGGAGUAAAGGAAGCAAAACUGUAAGAUGAGGUCUCAUCAUGUUGCCCAGACUGGCUCAAACUCCUGGGCUUGAGUGAUCCUCCUCCCUCAGCCUCCCAAAGUGCUGGGAUUACAUGCAGGAACCACCAAACCUGGCCCUCCCAACCUAGACUCUAACUGUCCAUGUUUUCUUUCUCUUGCUCUACUCCAUGAAAACUUACCCACCCUUCAGAGUUCCUCCACUUGAUUUACAAAGUGACAACUAACUGGCUGAAUAAACCAUUAUUAAUAAACUAUGUUGAUUUGUUAGUGAGAUAUUACUAGGAGGGAUCUCGGCCAAGCGGAUUAACAACCUAUGAGAUUUUAGGGCUAGAAAAUAUGUUUUUCACAUACUGUAUCCAACUUACUUAUAUUCUGACAAAAAUUAUGUAAAGUAGAUACUAUUGUCUCUUUUCCCGCAAAAAAGAAACAGAUUCAGAGAUUAGGUAGCUAGGCCAUGAUGACACAAGUGAGUAGCAGAGGUGGAACUCAAACCCAGAUAUUGCAUGUACUUUUCACUACAUCUUGCUCCAUAGCCAAACUUUACUAGUUAGUUAAAAAAAGUGUUGUCCUGAAGUUCACCUCUGAAUAGUCAAAGAUGUGGCCUUUCCUCACCCAUCUAGUCUGCCCGAACCUACCCUCAUUGCUCCCACAUUGCUGGGACUUGAGUCUCAGUUCCAUUCCUGCUUUGCUAUGGUGAUCACAAGCACAUUUUUUCCCUCCUCGUUGGGCUUUUGUUUUUUUCAUCUGUGAAAUUAAAGCACUGACUGGGGUCAUUUUUCAGUUUUGAGAGUCUAAAAAACUGAUUGUUUUUAUCUUCCAUUUCAUUCAUUCAACAGGUAUUCAUCAAGCACUUGCUUAUGCCAAGCACUCUGCUAGGUACUGGGGACAGAGCAAUAAACAAAUCAGGCAAAGGUCUCUGCCCUCAGAAAGUUUACUUUCUUUUCUUUUCUUUUUUUUGAGACACAUUCUUCUCUGUCACCCAGGCUGGUAUGCAGUGGCGCAAUCUCAGCUCACUGCAACCUCCACCUCCCAGGUUCAGGUCAUUCUCCUGCCUCACCCUCCUGAGUAGCUGGGAUUACAGGCAUGUGCCCCCACACCCAGCUAAUUUUGUAGAUUUUUUUUAGUAGAAAUGGGGUUUCACCACAUUGGCCAGACUGGUCUCAAACGCCUAACCUCAGGUGAUCCACCCGCCUUGGCCUCCCAAAGUGCUGGGAUUACAGGCGUGAACCACCACACCCAGCUGGGAGUUUAGUUUCUUACAUGCUGGGAAAGGACCCUCGAAAGCAUCUAGUCAAGUCCUUUUACAGAAAAGUGAGCUAUGAUGGGUAGUGACUUGCCCAAAGUCACAAAGCAAGAAGUGGCAGAGAAAGCAUCAAGGAAGCUGGAUGUUUUCAUUCCGAGUUUGGGAUAUUUUUCUUCAUUGCCACACCUUGUAUUGUGAAUUAUCCUAGAACAUGGUUGAUCUCAGCUUCCUGAGUAGUCUGUGACUUCUGAUAGGUGUUUAUUCCUGAUAUAUGCUUCACACUGUGCUGCUGCUGCUGCUGCUAGAGUAUCUGACAACAGAGUUCACUCUCAGAAACCACCAUUUCAACAUUCUGAAGCAGAAAGCCUCCAGCACACAGGAGUACGAUCAGAGUCUGACAUGCAGGGCGCGAGCCAGCUCACAAGCAGCCGUCUUCUACAGGGUCUCCUCCUUUUCCUGCCCCCAGGGCUGGAGUCUGUUUCCACUAUCACAUUGCAUGUUUUUCUGUUCUGCUCACUACUUUUAUACUGCUUUCUUUUCUCCAGAUCAGGACCUGAAGUAGCUUGCUCCCCAUCCAGGUAUUCUACUGGCUCUUGCCCAUGAAACUUUCACCACUCCUUGAAUCCUGUUCCACAAAGUGAGGCAGCUGAGACUUAGGCUAAGUGACCUACUGAGGCCGGAAGUCAGCACAGUGUGGGACCAGCCCCCAUGCUGUUUCCCAGAUGAAGGCACCUUCAUGCAUACCUUGGGCAUGAUCUGUAACAGCUCAGAAAGCCUGGACACCAGCAGGGCAGCACCUAUAUGGGGAGCAGCCGUCUGCACUGUCUGCGUUCAAUGAGUGUUCAUUUCACUACCCUUCACCACAGUUAUUUUUUAAUUUUAAAUUUUAUCAGAGUUACACAGGCACAUAGAUUAAAACGGGAACUAGUUCUAUAAAGUUUGUUAAGACAAAGAGCAGUCCUCAACCUCCAUGUACCCACCCCAACCCCAUUUCCUUUUCCCUAGAGGGACCACUUUCAACUUGUUUAAUUCUUUUGGAAUUUACUUAUCUCGAAAUAACAUGUUUAUAAUACUACUUCCUGUUUUUUCCUUUAGGCGUUAUCUGUUGACUUCCCACUAUGGAAACUGAGGAUUUAGCCUCCUCCUCCUUCAUUGCUUCCUCUAUACAUAUGUACCUCCCUAUGUGCCCCCUUGCUCCCCAUAUAGUAUAAUUUUUCAUAGAUGAUAAUGUUUUUUUGUUUUUGUUUUUGUUUUUUUGAGAUGGAAUUUCACUCUUGUUGCCCAGGCUGGAGGCAAUGGCAUGAUUUCAGCUCACUAUAGCCUCCAUCUCCCAGGUUUAAGCAAUUCUCCUGCCUCAGCCUCCUGAGCAGCUGGGAUUACAGGCAUGCACCACCAUGCCUGGCUAGAUAGUGUUUGUUAUGACAGUGUGAAUGCCAUUUGCAGCUAAGCCAUAUAGUCAGCUAUGAUUGCUUUUCCUAUCUAACAUACUAUUUUGUUUAUUUUUUUUCAUGCACUUAGGUUUCUAAGGCCUAACCACUAGCCACUCUUACCACUUAAACUCUCCCAAUUACCUAGCUCUCCUCUCAAUACAUUCUUCUCAGGAAAGUGUCUUGGGAGCCCCUCUCCUGCUCUGGGGGCCUGCUACCAGAGCUGCUAUCCCAGAACCUCUGUUUACCACUGUCCAGGAGAUCCCCUUGCCUCUUUCUUGUGUUAGAUUGCAGUUUUCUGGAUCCCAUGUUUUCUCCUUUUGUGCUUUCGUCUCUCCUUUUGAUGACAUUAUGUCCUCCAGGAGUUUCCUGGGAGUACACAAAAGAUAAAGUUUUCAAAAUCUUGUGUGUCUCAAAGUGUCUAUCACUUGAUUAAUUGAGUGUAGAAUUCUAGGUAAGAAGUCAUACUUCAGUCUCAUUGUCUUCUAACUUCCAGCUGCUGUUGAGAAGGCCAAAGUCAUUCCGAUUCCUCGCUCUUUGUGUGCGACCUUGCAGGAUUUCUUUGUCCCUAGCAUUGAGAAAUUUUACAAUGAUAUACCUAUUGUCCUGGCCAUUUGUGGCCCUUUCAAUCUGAAAAGUCAUGUCCUUUCAAUUCUGGAGUGUUUUCUUGAAUUACUUAAUUUCCUUUGUUGUGUUUCUAAAACUUCUUAUUCACAUAUUGGGUGAAUUUCUCAUCUGUUACUUCCUAGUUUCUAUUUUAUCUUUUUAUUCUACUUCCUGGAAAAUUUUCUCAAUAUGUUUUCUAAUCCUUCCAUUAAGCAUUUUGUUUCUGAUGUCAUAUUUUUUCUUUCCAAUAGCUCCCAUUUGUAUUUUUAGUAGAGACGAGGUUUCAUCACGUUGGCCAGGUGGUAUCGAACUCCUGACCCCAAGUGAUCCACUUGCCUUGGCCUCCAAAAGUGCUGGGAUUAUAGGCAUGAGCCACUGCGCCUGGCCAAAAAAAAUGUUUGUUUUUUUUUGAUGGAGCUUUAGGUAUAGGAAAAUUAGAUGCAUGUGUUUAAUUCAUUUUUUUUUUUUUUUUUUGAGACAGAGUCUCACUCUGUUGCCCAGGCUGAUGUGCAGUGGCAUGAUCUCAGCUCACUGAAACCUCUGCCUCCCAGGUUCGGACGAAUCUCCAGCCUCAGCAGGAGUAGCUGGAAUUACAGAUGCCCACCACCAUGACUCUAGGUAAGAAGUUGUUUUGCCUCAGAACUUAGAUACCUCAGCCCAGUUGUCUUCUAGCUUCCAGCUGCUGUUGAGAAGGCCAAAGUCAUUCUGAUUCCUCAUUCUUUGUGUGCGACCUUGCAGGAUUUCUUUGUCCUUAGCAUUAAGAAAUUUUACAAUGACAUACCUAUUUUCCUGGCCAUUUUUGUAUUUGUAGUCAUUGUAUUUGUAUUUGUAGCUUAUUUUUGUAUUUGUAGUCAAGACAGGGUUUCCCCAUGUUGACCAGGCUCAUCUCGAACUCCUGAGUUCAAGUGAUCUGCCCACCUUGGCCUCCCAAAGUGCUGAGAUUACAGGCAAGAGCCACUGUGCUUGGCCUAAUCCACUAUUUUUAUUUAGUGUCUCUAUAUAUACUAGUUAUUUAAUGAUUCAUACCUUAUAUUUGUAUUAAUCCCUUUAAGCUUUCAUAAUGGACUUCUAUCAGUUAACUUAUUUGAUCCUCUCCACCUAGACAGAGUCUCCCUCUGUCACCCAGGCUGUAGUGCAAUGAUCCACAUAUAAUAUGUGUUGAUCAGACUUUGCAGUCAAUCUAGUUCAGCCCCAUCAACUCACAGAGAGAAAACCCAAUUCCCAGAAAGGUGAAGUAUCAUGCUGGAAAACAUUCGUUUCUGCCAGACUUAGCAGAGACAUGUGAGACAUUAUUUGGCAGGCACAUAAUAUGGUAGUUUUGUUUUUUCACUCUUUAAAAAAAAUUGUUAUUGCUAGAUGUGGUUACAUGAUCCUAUAGUUCCAGCUUCUUGGGAAAGUGAGGCAGGAAGAUUGCUGGAGUCUAGGAGUUCAAAGCUGUAGUGCACUGUGAAUGGCCACUACACUUCAGUCUGGGCAAUAUAGCGAGACUCUUUUUUUUUUUUUAAGUGUUACAGGCCAGGUACAGUGGCUCACGCCUGUAAUUCCAGCAUUUUGGGAGACGGAGAUGGGCGGAUCACUUGAGAUCAGGAGUUUGAGACUACCUGGCCAACAUGGUGAAACCCUGUCUCUACAAAAAAAUAGCUGGGCAUGGUGGCACGUGCCUGUAGUCACAGCUGCUUGGGAGGCUGAGGCAGGAGAGUCAUGUGAACCUGGGAGGCAGAGGUUGCAGUGAGCCAAGAUCGUGCCAUUGCACUCCAGCCUGGACAACAGAAGGAGACUCUGUCUAAAAAAAAAAAAAGGGGUUAUUGAGACAUAACUGAGAAUAAGCUGCACAUAUGUACAGUGUAUGACUUGGUAAGUUUUGACAUAUAUAUACACAUCCUGCAAUCAUCAUAUCUCUCACCUCAAAGUUCCCUCAUACCCCUUUGUAAUUCCACCUUCCUGUCUCCUCCCAGCCUGACCCAAUCAACCACUGAUUACUUUCUGUCACUAUAGAUUAGUUUUCAUUUCCUAGAUAUAAAUAGAAUCGUGCAGAAUAAUCUUUUUUUCUGUCUGGCUUUGUUACAUGUAGUCAUGUAGUCUUUUGUUUUUGUUGUUUUGUUUUUGUUUUUUUAAGAGGGUCUUGCUCUGCCACCCUCUUAAAAAGUUACAUGUAGGCCAGGUACAGUGGCUGUAUAACCUUGUUACAUGUAGGCCAGGUGCAGUGGCACAAUUAUGGCUUAAUAUAACCUUGAACUCCUGAGCUCAAGCAAUCUUCCGGCCUCAGACUCCCAAGUAGCUAGGACCACAGUUAUGGCUAAUUUUUUAAAAAUUCUGGCCGGGCAUGGUGGCUCAUGCCUGUAAUCUCAGCACUUUGGGAGCCUGAAGUGGGCGGAUCACGAGGUCAGGAGUUGAAGACCAGCCUGACCAACGUGGUGAAACCCCGUUUCUACUAAAAAUACAAAAAUCAGCCAGGUGUAGUGGCAUGCGCCUGUAAUCCCAGGUACUCAGGAGGCCGAGGCAGGAGUAUCACUUGAACCUGGGAGGUGAAGGUUGCAGUGAGCUGAGAUCGCACCACUGCACUCCAGCCUAGGUGACAGAGUGAGACUCUGUCUCAAAAAAAAAAAAAUUCUUUGUAGAGACAGUGUCAUGCUAUGUUGCUGAGGCUUGACUCGAACUCCUGGUCUUAAAAGAUCCUCAUGCCUCAGCCUCCUGAAGGGCUGGGAUUACAGGUAUGAGCCACUGUACCUGGCCUACGUGUAACUUUGAUGGAUACUUUGGAGAUCAUACCUGACUGUUCAGGUGGAAAGCCUUCACCAGCUCCACAUCCCUCUACAUCCUUUCUCUUCCACACACUGCCCAUCUUCCCUCUUCUAGUUCCAGAGGCUACAAGUCUUCAAUGUUCUAGUCUUCUCUUCAUAUGAGCCUGAUCCCCAGAAAGGACCAAUAUAUUCCGUUCACACUGAGGUCACUGAUAUUACUGAUAAGUAUUUUGUAAAAGACAAAAGACAAAAACCCACAUUUGGCUUGUACCAAAGAAAUAAAGGUCUAGUGAUAGAUUUCUAAGCAUUAGUAGAUAAAUUUGGAAAAGAUUUUUUUGACAAGGGCUUCUCUGAACUUCUAGAAGUACAUCUUAUAUAAUGGAGUCCUCUGUAGACUGACUCUGCUGCAGAUAGGCACAGUGAAUUGAAAUCACCUCUGGUCCCAUUCAGAAUUUCAGUUUCCUGAAAUGUCAGCUAUCUGAGAGCUAAGAAAAGAACUAAUGUCUUGCCGGCCUUCCUUCCUUUUGGUCUAUUUGGCAGAGAAAACAAUCCUGUAUAGAUAAAGGGUCACUCAGGAGGGCAGGGCCUCCUGUGUUUAGUCCUAAUGUCCUUGGUCCGGGUGAGAGGAGGACCAUCGGAGGGAACCCUGGGAAGCUGGACUGAGGUCCAAGCUGGCAGAGACCCAAGGAUCACAGGCAGGAGAGCCUGGAAGACUUGACUGCCCUGCCUUUCUUCUUUCUCAUUUUUACAUUUAUUCUUCUUAACAGCUUUGUGAAGCAAGAGAAUGGAAAAUACUUCUCUGUUUUAAAAAUGAGUAAAGAGAGGUAGUGUAACCUGUGUAAUUCAAAGCCUUUCUUAGUCCUAGCUCUGUCUGUGGAGGCCCCAGUCCACCUGUCUGCUGAUGUCAGGGAACAUGGUAGUGUGAAACCUCCGGGCUGGGGCAGAGGAUUCAGGGCAAGAAAGUUAGGGAAGGGAGUGGAGUCCUCAAGCCCUCAACCAUUGUUCCUCCCUCCACUGCCCUAUGUGACUUCCCCCAGGUUUGUCAUUCCUCUCCAGGGGCCUAUUUGAAAAUGCAUAAGCCUAGGAGGGGAGGGCAAAUGGAGUGGUCCCCAGUAGUCUGUGGGAAGGGAACCAUCAGACAUUUUCCUUAUAAACAGGAGAACCCGCUUAGGACAAAGCUGCUGGUUAAAGGGGAAAACACACAGGCAGUCAGUCCUUUUGGCCCAGUUUAGCAUUUGUUGAAUACGGACUCUCUGCCCAAAUGGGGCCAGACAUACUUCCCAACCUCAUGGUCCUUGUAGGUCUUUCUUUUUCUUUCUUUCUUUUUUUGUUUUUUUUUUUGAGACAAGUCUCACUUUGUCACCCAGGCUGAAAUGCAGUGGUGUGAUCUCAGCUCACUGCAACCUUUGCCUCCCGGGUUCAAGCAAUUCUCCUGCUUCAGCCUCCCAAGUAGCCACAAUUAUAAACAUGUGCCACAUACCUGGCUAAUUUUUGUAUUUUUAGUAGAGAUAGAAUUUCUUUUUUUUUUUUUUUUGAGGCAGAGUUUCGCUCCAGUAAUUUCUCCAUGUUGGCCAGGCUGGCCUCAAACUCCUGGCCUCAAAUGAUCCGCCCAGCUCAGCCUCCCAAAGUUCUGGGAUUACAGGCGUGAACCACCAUGCCUAGCCCCUUGCAGGUCUUGAAUAGUGGGAAACUGAAUAGUGGUUGGUGGAGAGGGAGGAGGUUGUACAGAACCCCUUCCUCAGUAACCCAAGAAAGAUGUAGUGUAGGCUAAACCAGGGUAUAGAGCACAGGAAAGAGAUUUUAAAGACAAACUUGGCCAACUUUAGUAAUUUGUUAAAGCUGGCUGGUCACGCCUCCAGGGACUCCAGGCUGCCUGCUGGUCCUCCUGUGCCAAGGAACUCAGUGGCAUAAAAUCUCCAAGCAGAAGAAGGCAGGAAAAGGGAGUAGAGCUUUCAGAGUCCUUCUUAUUUAAGGACAACAUCCCCACUCCAUCACCAUGCUUUAUUAUGUUCAAUGGCAAAUUCUGAAAAUUAAAUUUAUUUACAAAUCAGACAUCCCAUGAUUCUUUUAGCAAGAGGGCAGGCAUUUCUAUAUCCUGAAAAUAAUAAAAAGGUUAGCAUUUCUAUGUAUUUAACAUAAUUCUAGUUUGUUAUCCUUUAUUUCAUUUGAUUCUAUUAAUGAGCUUAUGCGGUAGCCAGGCAGGAAUUAUUGGCAGCUAACAGCUAAGGAAACUGAGGCACAAGAGAGUUUGACUUACUCAAAGUCACACAGAGAUACAGUAGUGAAACCAGAUCUUAACAUUUCAAAGCCAGAUCUUAACACUUCACAGGCUAGAAGGUGUUGUAGAAGCUGGGACCACAGCUGUCCAGGGAUGUUUGAGGGACGGAGUGGCCUAGGCUGGGAGUUAGGAUUUGUUCUGUAUUUUAUCAUCUUCUGAGAUUAUCUGUGGCCUUGCAUGGUGCAGCAGGUAUGAAGACCAGGGUUCUAGUUCCACUUCUGCCACUUAUCUGCCAUGUGAACUUAGCAUGACUCAACUAUUUUUGGUCUUGGUUUUCUAAUCUUUUUUUUUUUUGGGCGGGGGAGGAAGGCAGGA